UCCAGAUUUGAUUUUUGGAGCAAAGAUUUGUGAGGAGAAGACAAUCCAGAUCCUACUCAAGUGGAUACUGGUAAAGGCCAGACGACUGCAUGGCUAUUUUAGAACCUUGGGCAUUGCUGCGAUCAUCUACAGGGUAAUCUAGUUACCCUAGAGGUAUUUCUCUAUUCUUCAUAUUUUUAGAUUUAAUUUUAGAUUUAAUAUCAG
rnacentral:lncRNA from 1 species